rnacentral:rRNA from 1 species
CCUACGGGAGGCAGCAGUGAGGAAUAUUGGUCAAUGGGCGCGAGCCUGAACCAGCCAAGUCGCGUGAGGGAUGAAGGUUCUAUGGAUCGUAAACCUCUUUUAUAAGGGAAUAAAGUGUGGGACGUGUCCUAUUUUGUAUGUCCCUUAUGAAUCAGGAACGGCCAACUCCGUGCCAGCAGCCGCGGUAAUACGGAGGGUCCGAGCGUUAUCCGGAUUUAUUGGGUUUAAAGGGUGCGUAGGCGGCCUAUUAAGUCAGCGGUGAAAGUCUGUGGCUCAACCAUAGGAUUGCCGUUGAAACUGGGGGGCUUGAGUAUGUUUGAGGCAGGCGGAAUGCGUGGUGUAGCGGUGAAAUGCUUAGAUAUCACGCAGAACCCCGAUGGCGAAGGCAGCCUGCCAAGCCAUGACUGACGCUGAUGCACGAAAGCGUGGGGAUCAAACAGGAUUAGAUACCCCGGUAGUC